CCUACGGGAGGCAGCAGUGGGGAAUAUUGCGCAAUGAGCGAAAGCUUGACGCAGCGACGCCGCGUGGGGGAGGAAGGCCUUAGGGUCGUAAACUCCUGUCAGAUGGGACGAACCGUAGAUUGGAUAAUAUCUGGUCUGCCUGACGGUACCAUCAGAGGAAGCUCCGGCUAACUCCGUGCCAGCAGCCGCGGUAAUACGGGGGGAGCAAGCGUUGUUCGGAAUUACUGGGCGUAAAGGGCGCGUAGGCGGCCUAGUAAGUCGAGUGUGAAAUGCCGGGGCUCAACUCCGUGCACUGCAUUCGAUACUGCCUGGCUAGAGAAAGGUAGAGGCGAGCGGAAUUCCCGGUGUAGCGGUGGAAUGCGUAGAUAUCGGGAAGAACACCUGUGGCGAAGGCGGCUCGCUGGGCCUUUUCUGACGCUGAAGCGCGAAAGCGUGGGGAGCAAACAGGAUUAGAUACCCUGGUAGUCCACGCCGUAAACGCUGGGUACUAGGUGUCGGGA
rnacentral:rRNA from 1 species